ACCUCAAAAUCCAAACCACAACGAACGGUGUUGAUAAGCAUCAAGCCAAAAAGCUUCACCAUUCUCUUCUCCAGCGUCAGAUCUCUCUAUCUCUCUCUAAAAACAAUUCCCAAGUUUCCAACCAAUCCCCUUUCUCUCUCUAGCGCGCGCCAAAUACAAAACCACCUUGCCUCUCUCUCUCUCCUAUUUUCUUUGUUUCCAAACAGAGUGAUCAUGGCCGAGGCUGCACCGACGAGUCCAGCCGGCGGGAGCCACGAGAGUGGAGGCGAGCAGAGUCCGCAUGCUGGCGGUGGUGGUGGUGGUGGUGGUGUGCGAGAGCAGGACCGAUACCUACCGAUCGCAAACAUCAGCCGCAUCAUGAAGAAGGCUUUGCCUGCCAACGGCAAGAUUGCUAAGGACGCCAAAGACACCGUCCAGGAAUGCGUCUCUGAAUUCAUCAGCUUCAUCACCAGCGAGGCGAGCGAUAAGUGCCAGAAGGAAAAGAGGAAGACUAUAAAUGGCGAUGAUUUGUUGUGGGCAAUGGCAACACUAGGUUUCGAGGACUAUAUCGAACCGCUUAAGGUUUACCUGGCUAGGUAUAGAGAGGUAAUUGUGAAUCUCUAAUGCUUUGCAUGAGCUCAUAGUUUUAUGCUUGGUCGUGUUCAGUUUGAGGGAUGAUAUGCGAUGCGGAUCUAUGUUAAUUAAGUAAUGUACAGACGAAAAUUCUGCCUCUAACCUAAUUACGCUAAAUUUUUAGGAUAUUUUAGCCUUUUAGAAUCUGAAACCUAAACAUUGCCCUUUGCUUUCUUUCAUUGUUAGUGUGAACCAUACCUAGCAUUACCCCUUUUGUCUUGUGUGUGUCAUAUUUUCUCUGAGCAAAUUAACCUUGUCAAUUUAUCUAACAAUUCUUGUCUUCUGUUUUUGGUCUUGCUUAUAUCUGUUGGCCUCAAAUGCUAUCACAGUUGGAGGUAACUUAACUCUCUUCUUCGAUAUUUUCAGUUACAAAUUAAUUUUGAUAUCCAGUCUCUUGCCUUUUCUAUUUUGGGAACUAAGCAAUACUUUGUUGGCAAUCUCUGAACUUUGACAGGGUGACACCAAAGGAUCUGCAAGAGGUGGAGAUGGUUCUGUCAAAAGAGAACCUGUUGGAGCUGGGCCUGGUCAAAAUUCGCAGUUUGUUCAUCAGGGAUCAUUAAACUACAUAAGCUCUCAAGACCAAGACUUUCUUCCGUAUGGGUAACUGUUGCAGUUUCAUUUCGAUCCAUUAAGCGGUUAUUGAGAUGUUUAGCGAUCUAGUAACUUGUACAAGAGCACAUCCAAGAUGAUGCCCAUGUUAAGAAAGGUUCUCUGUGGUACAAAAUGUCAAAGAGGCACAGCAUAUGAUUGUUCCUUCGGUGCAUGGCAACGAAUAGGUGUUUUUAGGUUUCUCCUUUUUUUUUUUUUUUUUUUUAAAUAUAAAUAUAUUAUUUUUACAAACUCUGAGGAUGGCAAAAUUGUUCAGAAUUUCAACAACCAGUAGUAUGUUUUGUAUAAAUCUUCUAAUUAUUUGCCUUGAUUGUGUUUUAAUUUGAAGGGUUUAUGUGUUGUGAAUUGGGUGGGGUGAGAUUUGGACAUGGUUGAUACGCUCUCCUAGGCUUCAGCCAUGUAAAGUUAGCCCUUUUUCUAGCAUGUUUCUCACCAUGAAAACAAAGAUAGCGUUAUUGUAUAUCCCUAAGGACACCAUUUAAAUAGAAACUGGAAAAUAUAGGGAAAUUAGCAUGUAUA